UUAUACAGCGAAACUGCGAAUGGCUCAUUAUAUAAGUUAUCGUUUAUUUGAUAGUACCUUACUACUUGGAUAACCGUGGUAAUUCUAGAGCUAAUACAUGCUAAAAAUCCCGACUCCGGAAGGGAUGUAUUUAUUAGAUUAAAAACCAAUGCCCUCUGGGCUCUCUGGUGAUUCAUGAUAACUUCUCGAAUCGCAUGGCCUUGCGCCGGCGAUGGUUCAUUCAAAUUUCUUCCCUAUCAACUUUCGAUGUUUGGGUAGUGGCCAAACAUGGUUGCAACGGGUAACGGAGGGUUAGGGCUCGACCCCGGAGAAGGAGCCUGAGAAACGGCUACUACAUCCAAGGAAGGCAGCAGGCGCGCAAAUUACCCAAUCCCGAUCCGGGGAGGUAGUGACAAUAAAUACUGAUACAGGGCUCUUUUGGGUCUUGUAAUCGGAAUGAGUACAAUUUAAAUCCCUUAACGAGGAACAAUUGGAGGGCAAGUCUGGUGCCAGCAGCCGCGGUAAUUCCAGCUCCAAUAGCGUAUAUUAAAGUUGUUGUGGUUAAAAAGCUCGUAGUUGAACCUUGGGCCUGGCUGGCCGGUCCGCCUCACCGCGUGCACUGGUCCGGCCGGGCCUUUCCCUCUGUGGAACCCCAUGCCCUUCACUGGGCGUGGCGGGGAAACAGGACUUUUACUUUGAAAAAAUUAGAGUGCUCCAGGCAGGCCUAUGCUCGAAUACAUUAGCAUGGAAUAAUAAAAUAGGACGUGCGGUUCUAUUUUGUUGGUUUCUAGGACCGCCGUAAUGAUUAAUAGGGACAGUCGGGGGCAUCAGUAUUCAAUUGUCAGAGGUGAAAUUCUUGGAUUUAUUGAAGACUAACUACUGCGAAAGCAUUUGCCAAGGAUGUUUUCAUUAAUCAGGAACGAAAGUUAGGGGAUCGAAGACGAUCAGAUACCGUCGUAGUCUUAACCAUAAACUAUGCCGACUAGGGAUCGGACGAUGUUAUUUUUUGACUCGUUCGGCACCUUACGAGAAAUCAAAGUGC
rnacentral:rRNA from 4 species